rnacentral:rRNA from 1 species
CUGCCCUUGGGUCCGGCAUAACCCCGGGAAACUGGGGAUAAUUCCGGAUAACGCACAUAUGCUGGAAUGCUUUGUGCGUCAAAUGGAUUCGUCUGCCCAAGGAUGGGUCUGCGGCCUAUCAGGUAGUAGUGGGUGUAAUGUACCUACUAGCCGACGACGGGUACGGGUUGUGAGAGCAAGAGCCCGGAGAUGGAUUCUGAGACAUGAAUCCAGGCCCUACGGGGCGCAGCAGGCGCGAAAACUUUACAAUGCGGGAAACCGUGAUAAGGGGACACCGAGUGCCAGCAUCAUAUGCUGGCUGUCCGGGUGUGUAAAAUACACCUGUUAGCAAGGGCCGGGCAAGACCGGUGCCAGCCGCCGCGGUAACACCGGCGGCCCGAGUGGUGAUCGUGAUUAUUGGGUCUAAAGGGUCCGUAGCCGGUUUGGUCAGUCCUCCGGGAAAUCUGACGGCUUAACCGUUAGGCUUUCGGAGGAUACUGCCAGGCUUGGAACCGGGAGAGGUAAGAGGUACUACAGGGGUAGGAGUGAAAUCUUGUAAUCCCUGUGGGACCACCUGUGGCGAA